AUCUAGGUUUUUUACCGGAUCGAUUAUCAGUGCCCGAAGUGCGGCGCUGAAAAAAACCGAAAUCGCAAAAUAAGGCAGCGUCAAGCCGAUGCUUGCUCACGAUCAUUAGCUCGUCACUGGUAGGAUCAGUUCAGGCCCCUUAUUCCUGACAUUUCCCACCUUCUUAUCGACCGGGAAUAUCUCGAGCCAUUCGUCGGGGC
rnacentral:misc_RNA from 1 species